GUGGCCACAUCAUGUCGAAACAUUGGUUCCCGUAUGAUGACCAAAGUUAAGCAAUGUCAAGCCUGGUCAGUACUUCAAUGAGUGCCCUCUUGGGAAUACCAGGUGCUGUAUG